rnacentral:rRNA from 1 species
AACGAACGCUGGCGGCAGGCUUAACACAUGCAAGUCGAACGCAUCCUUCGGGGUGAGUGGCAGACGGGUGAGUAACGCGUGGGAACGUGCCCUUCAGUUCGGGAUAACCCAGGGAAACUUGGGCUAAUACCGGAUACGUGCGAGAGCAGAAAGAUUUAUCGCUGAAGGAUCGGCCCGCGUCUGAUUAGCUAGUUGGUGGGGUAAUGGCCCACCAAGGCGACGAUCAGUAGCUGGUCUGAGAGGAUGAUCAGCCACACUGGGACUGAGACACGGCCCAGACUCCUACGGGAGGCAGCAGUGGGGAAUAUUGGACAAUGGGCGAAAGCCUGAUCCAGCCAUGCCGCGUGAGUGAUGAAGGCCUUAGGGUCGUAAAGCUCUUUCGCCAGGGGAGAUAAUGACGGUACCUGGAAAAGAAGCCUCGGCUAACUCCGUGCCAGCAGCCGCAGUAA